AGUGAACGCUGGCGGCAGGCCUAACACAUGCAAGUCGAGCGGCAGCGCAGCAGUAGCAAUACUGUGGGCGGCGAGCGGCGGACGGGUGAGGAAUACAUCGGAAUCUACCCAGUCGUGGGGGAUAAGCGUAGGGAAACUUACGCUAAUACCGCAUACGACCUGAGGGUGAAAGCAGGGGACCGCAAGGCCUUGCGCGAUUGGAUGAGCCGAUGUCGGAUUAGCUAGUUGGUGAGGUAAAGGCUCACCAAGGCGACGAUCCGUAGCUGGUCUGAGAGGAUGAUCAGCCACACUGGAACUGAGACACGGUCCAGACUCCUACGGGAGGCAGCAGUGGGGAAUNUUGGACAAUGGGCGCAAGCCUGAUCCAGCCAUGCCGCGUGUGUGAAGAAGGCC
rnacentral:rRNA from 1 species